rnacentral:rRNA from 1 species
AUUGCCCGCUUUCGGCAUGCCUAACACAUGCAAGUCGAACGAGUGGCGGACGGGUGAGUAAUGUCUGGGAAACUGCCUGAUGGAGGGGGAUAACUACUGGAAACGGUAGCUAAUACCGCAUACCAUCGGAUGUGCCCAGAUGGGAUUAGCUAGUAGGUGGGGUAACGGCUCACCUAGGCGACGAUCCCUAGCUGGUCUGAGAGGAUGACCAGCCACCCUGGAACUGAGACACGGUCCAGACUCCUACGGGAGGCAGCAGUGGGGAAUAUUGCACAAUGGGCGCAAGCCUGAUGCAGCCAUGCCGCGUGUAUGAAGAAGGCCUUCGGGUUGUAAAGUACUUUCAGCGGGGAGGCGUUACCCGCAGAAGAAGCACCGGCUAACUCCGUGCCAGCAGCCGCGGUAAUUC